CCUACGGGUGGCAGCAGUGAGGAAUAUUGGUCAAUGGGCGUAAGCCUGAACCAGCCAAGUCGCGUGAGGGAUGAAGGUUCUAUGGAUCGUAAACCUCUUCUAUAAGGGGGUAAAGGGUGGGACGUGUCCUGUUGUGUAUGUACCUUAUGAAUAAGGAUAGGCUAACUCAGUGCCAGCAGCCCCGGUAAUACGGAGGAUCCGAGCGUUAUCCGGAUUUAUUGGGUUUAAAGGGUGCGUAGGCGGCCUUUUAAGUCAGCGGUGAAAGUCUGUGGCUCAACCAGAGAAUUGCAGUUGAAACUGGGAGGCUUGAGUAUGGUAGAGGCAGGUGGAAUGCGUGGUGUAGCGGUGAAAUGCGUAGAGAUCACGCAGAAUCCCGAUGGCGAAGGCAGCCUGCCAAGCCAUGACUGACGCUGAUGCACGAAAGCGUGGGGAUCAAACAGGAUUAGAUACCCUGGUAGUC
rnacentral:rRNA from 1 species